rnacentral:lncRNA from 1 species
UGUAGGUACAAAUGGCAUUUUCGUGACAACCCCAUCAUAGGCCUUUCCUCUUACCAAAAUCUUAGCUUUGGUGCCUGCCUUGUGUAACCCAGAUUUCACGUAUCCCAUUGCUAUAUUCUUCUUAAGGCAAGGACUAAAUCCUCCGCUGGUGAUUUCACCAAUGUUGUUCCCUUUCUCGUCCUGAAUCUCACUGUGGGAUCGAGGAGGUGGACCAUUGGAGGUGAAGCCAACUCGCCUGAUUGACGGCCCCUCUUCCAGUUGUUUAAGGAUUACCUCAGCUCCUAGGAAUCCACCUUCUGCUCUCCUCCUCUUCCCUAUGGCCCAGGUCAGUCCAGCCUCCACUGGUGUUAUAUGU